rnacentral:rRNA from 1 species
AUUGAACGCUGGCGGAAGGCGUAACACAUGCAAGUCGAACGAGUGGCGGACGGGUGAGUAAUGCGUGGGAAUCUGGCUUAUGGGGGGGGAUGACUACGGGAAACUGUAGCUAAUACCGCGUACCCUAGGAUGAGCCCAGGUGGGAGUAGGUAGUUGGGGAGGAAAAGGCUCACCAAGCCGACGAUGUCUAGCUGGUCUGAGGGGAAGACGAGCCAAGCUGGGACGGAGACGCGGCCCAGACUCCUCCGGGAGGCAGCAGUGGGUAAUAUUGCGCAAUUGGCGCAAUCUGAGGCAGGCAUGCCGCGUGAAUGAAGAAGGCCGUCGGGUUGUAAAGUUCUUUCGGUAGCGAGGCGUUAACUACAGAAGAAGCACCGGCUAACACCGUGCCAGCAGCCGCGGUAAUAC